rnacentral:pre_miRNA from 1 species
GUUGGUCACGUGUAUUCUUGGGUAAUUAACACAUUUUGAGGGAUGUUAUUGCUUGAGAAUACACGUAGCUGAC